UACGGGGGGGGCAAGCGUUGUUCGGAAUUACUGGGCGUAAAGGGCUCGUAGGCGGCCAACUAAGUCAGACGUGAAAUCCCUCGGCUUAACCGGGGAACUGCGUCUGAUACUGGAUGGCUAGAGGUUGGGAGAGGGAUGCGGAAUUCCAGGUGUAGCGGUGAAAUGCGUAGAUAUCUGGAGGAACACCGGUGGCGAAGGCGGCAUCCUGGACCGACACUGACGCUGAGGAGCGAAAGCCAGGGGAGCAAACAGG
rnacentral:rRNA from 1 species